rnacentral:rRNA from 1 species
CCUACGGGAGGCAGCAGUGGGGAAUAUUGGGCAAUGGCGGCAACUCUGACCCAGCAACGCCGCGUGAAUGAUGAAGGUCUUCGGAUUGUAAAGUUCUGUGAUGGGGGAUGAACACAAUGACGGUACCCCAAUAGCAAGCCACGGCUAACUACGUGCCAGCAGCCGCGGUAAUCCGUAGGUGGCAAGCGUUAUCCGGAAUGACUGGGCGUAAAGGGUGCGUAGGUGGUUUAGUAAGUUGGCGGUGUAAUUCCGGGGCUCAACCUCGGCGCUACCGCCGAAACUAUUAGACUAGAGUGCAGGAGAGGUAAGUGGAAUUCGUAGUGUAGCGGUGGAAUGCGUAGAUAUUAGGAGGAACAUCAGGGGCGAAGGCGACUUACUAAACUGCCACUGACAUUGAUGCUCGAAAGCGUGGGUAUCAAACAGGAUUAGAUACCCUUGUAGUC